rnacentral:ribozyme from 1 species
UGAACCUGUUCCCGAUACACGCCGCGAACAUGGCAUCGGGCGCUACCGCGGCGGC